rnacentral:rRNA from 1 species
CGUCCAGCCCGCUCAGAAACUCAAAUGAAUUGACGGGGCCGCACAAGCGGAGGAGCAUGUGGUUUAAUUCGAUGAUACGCGAGGAACCUUACCUGGGCUCGAACGUAAGAUGACUGUAGGUGAAAGCUUACAUCUCUUCGGAGCAUUUUACGAGGUGCUGCAUGGUUGUCGUCAGCUCGUGCCGUGAGGUGUCGGGUUAAGUCCCAUAACGAGCGCAACCCCUACCUUUAGUUGCCAUCAGGUUAAGCUGGGGACUCUAAAGGAACUGCCUACGCAAGUAGUGAGGAAGGCGGGGAUGACGUCAAAUCAGCACGGCCCUUACGUCCAGGGCUACACACGUGCUACAAUGGCCGAUACAGAGGGCAGCUACCUGGUGACAGGAUGCAAAUCUCCAAAGUCGGUCUCAGUUCGGAUCGGAGUCUGCAACCCGACUCCGUGAAGUUGGAUUCGCUAGUAAUCGCGCAUUCAGCCAUGGCGCGGUAGAAUACGUUCCCGGCCUU